UACGAAGGGGGCUAGCGUUGCUCGGAAUCACUGGGCGUAAAGGGUGCGUAGGCGGGUCUUUAAGUCCGGGGUGAAAUCCUGGAGCUCAACUCCAGAACUGCCUUUGAUACUGAAGAUCUUGAGUUCGGGAGAGGUGAGUGGAACUGCGAGUGUAGAGGUGAAAUUCGUAGAUAUUCGCAAGAACACCAGUGGCGAAGGCGGCUCACUGGCCCGAUACUGACGCUGAGGCACGAAAGCGUGGGGAGCAAAAGGG
rnacentral:rRNA from 1 species